AUUCUCUUUGAAUUUUUUGGGGUUGCUUGGAACUUGCAGACAGAGUGUCGAGACUCGUGAGCCUGCGCUUAAUUGCGCGGCCUAGAGUCGAGUGCUUGUUAUUGGCUGCGGGGUACGAGUGCCUUUUGAAAAAAUCCAUUACACACUGUGAAGAUUUUUUUUCAUACUUUUACUUCUUUGGAGCUCUCCGGGGCUCCAAAGGCCAUAAACACAAACCAAACUUUUUUUUUUAUUAUUUGUUAAUCAAGAAAUUUUCUAUUGAAAUUAAAUAUUUUAAAACUUUCAACAACGGAUCUCUUGGUUCUCGCAUCGAUGAAGAACGUAGCGAAUUGCGAUAAGUAAUGUGAAUUGCAGAUUCUCGUGAAUCAUUGAAUUUUUGAACGCACAUUGCGCCUUCUGGUAUUCCAGAAGGCAUGCCUGUUUGAGCGUCAUUUCCUUCUCAAAAUCUCGAUUUUGGUUGUGAGUGAUACUCUGUUACAGGGUUAACUUGAAAGUGCUAUUUUGCCCUAGCUACUCUUUUUUUACUUGCUGAGAAAAGAUUUUUGGAUAAUUCAAUGUAUUUAGGUAUUUAUACCGACUUUCAUUGGAGGCUAAAAGUCUGGUCUGGGCGCUUUAAGGUGAAUUGUUGAGCAAAAGGGAUAUUACAGUAUUCAUAAAGUUUG
rnacentral:misc_RNA from 1 species